CUAGCAUGGCCGAAGUGUGUCAGGGAGAGUGGGGGAGCUGCUUGUCUGUUGAACUUGAAUGCAAUGGCAAUCCUUCCAUAAUUGAGGUAUAAGGAUUUUUAAUUCUAGCUUAUCAUUCCAUAAUUCUUCUGUUUAGUCACUCAAAUUUCUAUUCUAGACUGACAGCACAAGCUUGAGUUAAUCAUGUAAUAGAUUGAGUUCCUCACCAC
rnacentral:lncRNA from 1 species